rnacentral:lncRNA from 1 species
GCUAAAAUAUCCCCCAUAAAGUAACCCCAUAUAACCCCAUAUCCCCAGUUAGUUCCCCCCAUAUUAACGCCCCCAUAAUAACCCCAUAUAACCCCAUAUAUCCCCAUAUAUCCUAUAAUAACCCUAUAUAUUACCCCAUAUAUUAUCCCAUACAGUCCCUGCGUUCAAAAGAGCCCUUUCCACUUAUGGGGCCGGGGGCUUUGUCCAGGCCGUUGUUUCCCGUCGGGAUCGUGACGCGCUGCAGGUUGUGGUUCAAUGCUGGCGAGGUUGGGGGCACUGAGACCCAACUGUGUCCUAUUGGGGUGGCCACGGGGGGCACAGCUCAGGGAGGACCCUAUAGCGGCAACUGAGUUUGUGGAGCUGCUCAGGGCUGCGGGGUCCAGUGGUCGGGCGCUGCUGGUGGCCAAGGGGCUGAGAAUGGAGCCGUCUAUGGGGCCGUCUAUGGGGCCGGCUAUGGGGCCGGCUAUGGGGCCGGCUAUGGGGCCGGCUAUGGGGCCGACCGGGCCCCCCCUGGACGUGUGGUGGGUGGUGGGCGACGGGCGCCUGCUGACCCUAUUACCCCUCCUGCUG